GACGUAGGGGGCCAGCGUUGUUCGGAAUUAUUGGGCGUAAAGAGCUCGUAGGCGGUUUGUCGCGUCUGCUGUGAAAACUCGGGGCUUAACUCCGGGCCUGCAGUGGGUACGGGCAGACUAGAGUGCGGUAGGGGAGACUGGAAUUCCUGGUGUAGCGGUGAAAUGCGCAGAUAUCAGGAGGAACACCGGUGGCGAAGGCGGGUCUCUGGGCCGUAACUGACGCUGAGGAGCGAAAGCGUGGGGAGCGAACAGG
rnacentral:rRNA from 1 species